rnacentral:misc_RNA from 1 species
AAGAAGAGAUUGUCUCCUUAACUGGGCAAAAACUAGAAUGAAUAUAAAUUUUCCAAUUAGCCAACAGCUAGUUAUCUUGUAAACCAAAAUGCAUAUCAGAACAUAUUACCCAUGCAAAGGAUAUGCUAUCAAUACAAGGAAUACCAACCAGGCUAAAUUACAAAUAUCUCAAUUCCACUAGUCACCCCAAAAAUAAGUCAGCUGCACAUGUAUGAAACUAUGAAUCUCAAAGUUUCAGUUGACUAGUGCUGUUACUUUAUCUAGGCCAAAUUGCCUUAAAAAUAAAUAAAUAAUAUAAUAUAAAAUAAAAUAAA